AAAAAUCAAUUCCGAAAAGAAAAGAAAAGAAAAGAGAAAAGAAGAGAAGAAAGAAGCGUAUUAAGAUUUGUUGGUGUUGCUACUGCUGCUGUUUUACGGUUUACAGUUGGUGUUGU
rnacentral:ribozyme from 1 species